rnacentral:rRNA from 1 species
UACGUAGGGUCCGAGCGUUGUCCGGAAUUACUGGGCGUAAAGAGCUCGUAGGUGGUUUGUCGCGUUGUUCGUGAAAACUCACAGCUUAACUGUGGGCGUGCGGGCGAUACGGGCAGACUGGAGUACUGCAGGGGGAGACUGGAAUUCCUGGUGUAGCGGUGGAAUGCGCAGAUAUCAGGAGGAACACCGGUGGCGAAGGCGGGUCUCUGGGCAGUAACUGACGCUGGAGGAGCGAAAAGCGUGGGGAGCGAACAGG